rnacentral:rRNA from 1 species
UGGGGAAUAUUGGACAAUGGGGGGAACCCUGAUCCAGCCAUGCCGCGUGUGUGAAGAAGGUCUUCGGAUUGUAAAGCACUUUAAGUUGGGAGGAAGGGCAGUAAGUUAAUACCUUGCUGUUUUGACGUUACCGACAGAAUAAGCACCGGCUAACUCUGUGCCAGCAGCCGCGGUAAUACAGAGGGUGCAAGCGUUAAUCGGAAUUACUGGGCGUAAAGCGCGCGUAGGUGGUUUGUUAAGUUGGAUGUGAAAGCCCCGGGCUCAACCUGGGAACUGCAUCCAAAACUGGCAAGCUAGAGUACGGUAGAGGGUGGUGGAAUUUCCUGUGUAGCGGUGAAAUGCGUAGAUAUAGGAAGGAACACCAGUGGCGAAGGCGACCACCUGGACUGAUACUGACACUGAGGUGCGAAAGCGUGGGGAGCAAACAGGAUUAGAUACCCCCGUAGUCCCUGAGCGGGCUGGCAAGGCGCAU